CCUACGGGAGGCAGCAGUGAGGAAUAUUGGUCAAUGGGAGAGAUCCUGAACCAGCCAAGCCGCGUGAGGGAAGACGGCCCUAUGGGUUGUAAACCUCUUUUGUCGGAGAACAAAACCCGGUACGUGUCCCGGACUGCGUGUAUCCGAUGAAAAAGGAUCGGCUAACUCCGUGCCAGCAGCCGCGGGAAUACGGGGGAUGCGAGCGUUAUCCGGAUUUAUUGGGUUUAAAGGGUGCAUAGUCGGUCCGUUAAGUCAGUGGUAAAAUUGCGGGGUUCAACCGCGUCGAGCGGUUGAUACUGGCAGACUUGAGUUGGGGAGAAGUACGCGGAAUGCGCGGUGUAGCGGUGAAAUGCAUAGAUAUCGCGCAGAACUCCGAUUGCGAAGGCAGCGUACCGGCGUCAGACUGACGCUGAGGCACGAAAGCGUGGGGAUCGAACAGGAUUAGAUACCCGGGUAGUC
rnacentral:rRNA from 1 species